UGUUGGCCAGGCUGGUGUCAAACUCCUGACCUCAGGUGAUCCACCCUCCUUGGCCUCCCAAAGUGCUGGGAUUACAGGUGUGAGCCACCACACCCAGCCACUGUAUUCUUAUAUUUUAAGUCUAUCUCUUAUAGGCAGCAUGUAGUUGUUUCUCUUUUCUAAGAUCCUGUGUCUUUUAGCUGGAAUAUUUAAUCUUUUUAUAUUUAAUGUAAUACUAAUAUAUUUGUGUUUAAAGCUUUCACAUUACUGUUUUCUAUUUGUUCUAUCUGUUCUAUAUGGUUUUCCUUCCUUUUCCUUCUUUAAUACUAAUUAUAUUUUGUUAUUUUAUUUUUCCUCUAAUAAAUAGUUGUAUAAACUUUUACUGGUUACCCUGGGGAUUACAAUAUGAAUCCUUGAUCUGGUAAAGUCAAAUACAAAUUAGUACUUCUACUACUUCCAUAACAAUGUAAAGACACAUUUGAAUGCUUCUUUGCCUCUUGCCUUUUGUUCUGUUGUUAUCACGUCAUACAUGUAUGUGUGUAUUUAUUAUUACUUUUUCCUUUCUUUUUUUUUUUUUUUUUGAGACAAGGUCUUGCUCUGUCACCUGGGCUGGAGUGCAGUAGCACUCACUGCAGCCUCGACCUCCUGGUCUCAAGCCUUGAGCCUUCGACCUCCCACCUCAGCUUCCCGAGUAGCUGAGACUACAGUUACUGCACUCCUGUUUCCAGACUUGGAAGAAGAGGCUGCUGCAGGAGGGACGCUGCUGCACCCUCAUCACGCAGAGCAGAGAGCCCCCCGUGGGUGCAGCAGGCGCCAGCCCGGGCUCUGACUCACCCGGGAUGUAAUCAAGUUAUGAUGAGGUCAUUCCGGGUUAGGAUGGGCCCUCAAUCCAAGAUGACUCGUGUCCUUAUAAGAAGAUGGAAAUUUGGACCCAGAGACACAGACACCCAGGGAGAACGCCGUGUGCCGACAACAGAGCAGAGAGUGACACUUCUAUCAGCCAGAGAAUGCCAGGCAGUGCCGACAGCCGCCAGAACUCGGAGCUUCUAUCAGCCAGAGAAUGCCAGGCAGUGCCGACAGCCGCCAGAACUCAGAGAGGGGCAUGAAACCCUCUCCCCUGGCGUCUGCAGAAAGAACCCACUUUGCGGACACCUCGAUUUUGGAUUUCUAGAUCCCAGAACCAUGAAAGAAUAAAUUUCUGUU
rnacentral:lncRNA from 10 species